AUUAAAUGGGUUAAUGGUUGAUCCAUCAACCCAACAUUUUUCUAAUGAACCAUUUUUAAGUUGAAAACCAACUUGAUUAAACCAACAUGAGGAUUGUCAUGAGUAUAAGUAUCAACCGUAUAAGUAUCAACCCAACAUGAGUAUUGUCAUGAUCAAAACAAGAGAAUAAGUAUCAACCCAACAUCUUUAUAAUCUAGUCUUCGAUAACUUCAUCUCCUCGAUUUCAAACUUGAGCAUUGGAUCACAAACCACUUUGUUACUCUUCAGUUUACUUGAGGAUUCAAAUUAUGCCACAGGAAUCAAAAACUAGCAUGGAGGAGUAAGGAACACGAGAGAUAUGUGACGUACACGAGAGAUAUGUGACGUUUGAGCAAAGAAGUAUCUUACCAGCUAUAUCAACUAAUCAAGCUGCACCAUAACUACAACACAAUACACAUAACUAAAACGAGUUAUAGCUACAUCUGUUUUCCUACCAAAAAUCCUCAGGAGGAAAAAUUAGCUUACUUGGGGAGAAGAUGCCGUGGACAUUUCACAAUAGCUUCUCAAUGCUCAACAAGUAACCUUCUCAAGCUUUGCAUUAGAAUACUCUUGAAGAUCAAUAGCUUCCUGUCAUAUGGUUUAUAAGCAAGUUGAAAACAGAGGCAAUGUUAGUACAUUCCAGAUUC